AUUAAAUUUGCCCUCCAAACCAGGUGUUAUAAAAGCCCAAACUUAGAUUAAAUCAACAGCACAGUAGAAGAACACCUGAAACAAGCAGCAUCGCUGUUUAUUCUCUCAUUUAAUCACCAUCUUCCUUAGUUGGGCCUAUUCGUGUCGCGUUAAGGGCACGUCUGUAAAUUUAAACUCUGAUUAAUGGUGACGGUGUUUAUCAGACGUGCGAUGUGAAGCCGCACGCGGCCUGUCCGGCAUUCAGCAUCCUGCUCCCGCACUGAUGCAGGAAGCACCGACAAGAAAGACGGGAAUCCUGCGUGCUGCUCCUGCAGUAAUGUCAAUGUGGAAAAUGGUUGGAUCCUUGAGACCUCACGAACCAAACCUCUGAGAAGUUGCAGCACACUCCUUGGCACAGCAUCAAAAACCUCUGCAUGUAACUGGUAAACUGAAUUCAGCGAGGAAUUCCUCAUAACAUGCGUGACUGUUACUUUCGAUCUCCAUGGCGGCCUGAAAGGGGAUCAAAAUGACAAAAUGAUUAGUGGCCCUCAUGAAGUGCACCUGAAAGAACAUUUUCCGGGCCGGAUGAAGCCAGACAUCGCUGCUGGAGUGAGGAGAUGUUGCAUGUCAUGGAAAACAGCGUCACUUCCCUUACUUCAAUAUGCUCAACAUGCAGAAGAUCAGAGAACAAAGCAGGAAAACUGGACAUUGGCGUAUGAAUUGUCUGAGUUUGAAACAGGGUGGAUAUUCCAAGGCGGACUUAAAGCUGAAAAAGGAGGUGGAAUGGACUCUGGGGACGGACCUGCCUGUCGCACACCAAUGGGUGAAUCUUCUGUUAAAAGUGAGUAUGACUGAAAAUAAUGAUUGCUAUAACACGCAUUGAAGAUAAAAAUGACAACUUGAUCAACUGACAUUUGAAAUGUAGUACACAGAUGAAAAUAAUGGAUUUAGAAAGUUACCAGAGUUGUGUUUAAACAUAGCAGGUCACAAUGUUGUGUUUUUAGCCAACUCAAGGGCUACUAUAUCUGUUUUAAAGAAUGCAGCACCACCGAAACGGCCCAAGAAGAGCAGAUUUCAGAAUCCUACACAACACCUUUGGCAUGCACACUCGAUAACACCUUGACUAAACACAUAAUUUCUGUUAUCAAAACACUGUCCCAUAAUUUUAAUGAGAAGAGAUCUGAUUUAAACUCACAUCCAACAAGUACUGAGACUGCAAAGGGUUGAAUAAAGUCUGGAGGCAUUGAAACAUGUCUACCAGUGAUCUCUG